GAUGAAGAACGUAGCGAAAUGCGAUACGUAAUGUGAAUUGCAGAAUUCAGUGAAUCAUCGAGUCUUUGAACGCACAUUGCGCCCCCUGGUAUUCCGGAGGGCAUGCCUGUCCGAGCGUCAUUGCUGCCCUCAAGCACGGCUUGUGUGUUGGGCUCCGUCCCCCGAUCCCGGGGGACGGGCCCGAAAGGCAGCGGCGGCACCGCGUCCGGUCCUCGAGCGUAUGGGGCUUUGUCACCCGCUCUGUAGGCCCGGCCGGCGCUUGCCGAUCAACCAAAUUUUUAUCCAGGUUGACCUCGGAUCAGGUAGGGAUACCCGCUGAACUUAAGCAUAUCAAUAAGCGGAGGA
rnacentral:misc_RNA from 1 species